UAGGACAAGUAUUUCCGGACGGAGGGAGUAUUAGGCAUUGCAUGAGAUAAAAAUUCUUCACUCUGAGCAAACAUCAAUCAACAACACUUGGAAGUAUGAUUUUCGGAAUAGGCAUGAAUUGAUGGAAGUUGCUAUUGUAGUUCUCUGGAACAAACAUCAAUUAGUGAACAAGCACUGAUCCAACUUCGUAUGUGCUUGUGCUGGAUCUGGAGAUACGGCUCGUGGGUGAAGGGCAUUGCUUGUGGUGGACAACGCUGGAGGUUGAAAGUCAGCAGGGGAGCAGGGGAGGAGGUUGGCUGACCAAAGAACGUCAGGAGGCAGGGAUUGUCGGCAGUGGUGUCACACAUGAGAGAGGGAAUGCUUUGAUCGACAGGAGGGGAGAGCUACGAAAGGAAUUUCCACAUAGUCUAGGGGCAGGGGGUACGCAGUGGCAAGCCCCGGUAAUUUCCGUAUCAAGUUGGAUGGCAGUUGUGAAAUGGAAAAGCUUCUGCGGGCUCUAAGCUGCUACAGAAGCUGAGAAAGUGGCCCAGCACCUGAAGUUGGAUGUAUAAUCAUCAACAACAACAGAGCCUUUUGUCCCAAGUAAGUUGGGGUAGGCUAGAGAUGAAACCCAACAGGAACCUGUGAUUUUGAGAACCCAAAAA